GGCCCUGACUAUUCUCAACAAGAGUGGGAGUGUUGACCGGCCACGAGGCCACAAAUUUGCUCGUAGAUACAUAUACAUAUUGACUAUGGGCUUUCUAACAUUAGCUCUCUGGUGCGGAUGUGACGUUUCGAGAGAAACGUUCGACCUUAUUGAAUUUAAAUCGCUUUGUUAAAAACCACUUGAAUGAUGACAACUUUCAUUCAUCAAGAAGAUCAAUUACCAUUAAAUAUAAAAAUUGAAUCAAUAAACUCUCAAUUAUUUUGUAAAAUGGAAAAUUUGAAUAAGAAUUACUUGACACAAUUGGAACUAGAACUUUUCAACAUCUUUCAAGCCACACGUGGAGUCAAGAAUUAAUUAAACUACAGAUCUUUUCAGUUCAAGUCAAGUUUGGAAUAUUUUGGAUCAAUACUAUAUUUUGCGCAUUUCCGCUUUGGCACAUUGGUGUAUUCAAUAUUGGACAUAUCUUCAAAAAUACCAAGUUCCGGCCACCAUAUGUUUUCUUACACGAGAAGAUUAGUUUGUAAUUGAACCACAACAUAAAUGAAUGCACCUGUUGCACCUUGAGGUACCUUUAUACAUCACCGACAGGUGCAGUAUUACAACUUUUAAGGUGCAUCCUACUUAUAUCCUCUUAUCUCUGACUUUUCUUCAUCCUCAUCAGGAAUUUUUAGCAACAGGUCAAAAAUUUUUGAACUUUGUAGCAUGCCAGGAUGUUAUUAUCUUUGUAAAUUGGAAAAAAAGCAGGGAGGAAACGAGAGCAGAUGACUGAUUGUAAGCUUUAUGUGGAGAGGUAAAGAACAUAAAGAGCAGGUGAGGAGAUACGUCGACUUGUUUCUAAAUUAGACUGUCGACUGGAAAUAUUCUCGUGUCACGUGCUGCUCUUUAAUUGCGGGGGCAGGUGGGUAAUAGUCCUGCUCACUAAAAAAAGAGUUUGAAUGGUUUUUUUUUGCCAGAUAAAAAUAAAAAGUUAUUCAUUCCAUUGAAUGAUUCACCAUUUA